rnacentral:tRNA from 1 species
GUCGGGAUAGCUCAGCUGGUAGAGCAGAGGACUGAAAAUACUCGUGUCACCAGUUCAAAU